CCCGCACAAGCGGAGGAACAUGUGGUUUAAUUCGAUGAUACGCGAGGAACCUUACCUGGGCUUAAAUGGGGAGUGACAGCUGUCGAAAGAUGGUUUUCUUCGGACACUCUUCAAGGUGCUGCAUGGUUGUCGUCAGCUCGUGCCGUGAGGUGUCGGGUUAAGUCCCAUAACGAGCGCAACCCUUACCGUUAGUUACCAUCAGGUUAAGCUGGGGACUCUAGCGGGACUGCCACCGUAAGGUGAGAGGAAGGUGGGGAUGACGUCAAGUCAGCACGGCCCUUAUGUCCAGGGCUACACACGUGUUACAAUGGCCGGUACAAAGGGCAGCUACUUCGCGAGAAGAUGCUAAUCUCGAAAGCCGGUCUCAGUUCGGAUCGAAGUCUGCAACCCGACUUCGUGAAGCUGGAUUCGCUAGUAAUCGCGCAUCAGCCAUGGCGCGGUGAAUACGUUCCCGGGCCUU
rnacentral:rRNA from 1 species